UACGUAGGGUGCAAGCGUUGUCCGGAAUUCUUGUGCGUCAAGAGCUCGUAGGCGGUCUGUCGCGUCUGCUGUGAAAAUCCAGGGCUCAACCCUGGACCUGCAGUGGGUACGGGCAGACUAGAGUGCGGUAGGGGAGAUCGGAAUUCCUGGUGUAGCGGUGAAAUGCGCAGAUAUCAGGAGGAACACCGGUGGCGAAGGCGGAUCUCUGGGCCGUAACUGACGCUGAGGAGCGAAAGCAUGGGGAGCGAACAGG
rnacentral:rRNA from 1 species